rnacentral:tmRNA from 3 species
GGGGAUGCAAGGCAUAGACAGUAGGUCUACUUGUAAAAAUGCAUGUCGAGAAUGGACGUAAUCUCGUUAAAAUUCGUUCAAAUGUUAAUUGCAAAAUUGACUUCUAAAGUAAAAGCAGCAGUCUCUCCAUACUUCGGUAUGAAUGACUUUGCUUUUGCUCGAGUUUCCGCUUUAGCGUAAGCUCGUGUCUUUCUUAUAGAUUUCUGAUAUAUAAGAGUAGGCAUAAUAUUAUCGGAAUAGGGGAAAGUGGGUCUCGACUUUUUUAGAAAACUAAAGAGAAUCGAUUGAAAAAUAUUUUGUUCGUUUAAGAAUUUUUUGAUUUAAAAUAAAAAACGUACCACACAUGUAGAUUUUUUUACAAAAACCUUCUGCACGGGGAUUCGAUUUCCCCCAUCUCCACUG